rnacentral:rRNA from 1 species
GAAAUUGAAUAAGGGCGCAUGGUGGAUGCCUAGGCUCAAGGAGGCGAUGAAGGACGUGGGAAGCUGCGAUAAUCUGCGGUUAGGCGCAACCGGCCAUUGACCCGCAGGUCUCCGAAUGGGACAACCCGCCGCCGAAAGGCGGCAUCACGCAUUGAGCGUGAGGCGAACGCGGGGAACUGAAACAUCUUAGUACCCGCAGGAAGAGAAAACAACAGUGAUUCCCCCAGUAGUGGCGAGCGACCGGGGAAGAGCCCAAACCGUCGGCGUUUCGGCGCCGUCGGGGUAGUAGGGCCGCAAUGUCGCACAAGCACCGUUAAGCGGAACGGACUGGAACGUCCGGCCAUAGCGGGUGAAAGCCCCUUACGCGCCGUCGGUGCUGGCGUAGCGGUUCCCUGAGUAGCGCGGGGCACGAGAAACCCUGUGCGAAUCCGCCGGGACCAUCCGGCAAGGCUAAAUACUCCCUUGAGACCGAUAGUGAACAAGUACCGUGAGGGAAAGGUGGGAAGCACCCCGUCGAGGGGAGUGAAAGAGACCCUGAAACCAUGCGCCUACAAGCGGUCGGAGCACGCAUGUGCGUGUGACGGCGUGCCUUUUGCAUAAUGAACCUACGAGUUGCCGUCGCCGGCGAGGUUAACCGUGAAGACGCGGGGAGCCGGAGUGAGAGCGAGCCUGAAGAGGGCGCAUAGUCGGCGGUGGCAGACGCGAAACCAAGUGAUCUACACUUGGCCAGGGUGAAGUCCCGGUAACGCGGGAUGGAGGCCCGAACCGAUAAGCGUUGAAAAGCUUCCGGAUGAGCCGAGUGUAGGAGUGAAAGGCCAAUCAAACUUGGAGAUAGCUCGUACUCCCCGAAAGGCAUUUAGGUGCCGCGUGGGGUGUUCCGGGCGCGAGGUAGAGCGACCGAUAGGACGCGAGGGCUUCACCGCCUGUCAAGUCCUGACGAACUCCGAAUGCGCGUCCGCAGAAGCCCUGCAGUAAGGGGGCGGGUGCUAAGGUCCGCCCCCGAGAGGAGAAGAAUCCAGACCGCCGUCUAAGGCCCCGGAAUUCUGCCUGAGUUAGUCUAACGAAGUGUGCCCCCUGGGACAGCCAGGAUGUUGGCUUGGAAGCAGCCAUUCAUUCAAAGAGUGCGUAACAGCUCACUGGUCGAGGGGGCUCGCGUGGAUAAUAAUCGGGUAUAAGGCAGAUGCCGAAGGCGCGGGAUAUCGAAAGAACGUAUCGGUAGGGGAGCAUUCCAGGUGCGCAGAAUGCAAGGGGCGACCCAUGCUGGAGCGCCUGGAAAGGCAAAUGUAGGUAUGAGUAACGACAAGGGGGGCGCGAACCCCCCCCGCCGCAAGGCCAAGGUUUCCCGGGCGAUGCCAGUCAUCCCGGGGUAAGUCGGGCCCUAAGCCUAAGCCGAAUGGCGAUGGCGAUGGCAGACACGGUUGAUAUUCCGUGACUGCCCGUGCGGGCGAUGCGGCAACGGAGAAGUGACACCGCCGCGCGCAGACGGAACUGCGCGUUGAAGGGUGUAGGCGUCGAGGGGCGCAGUCAAGCACACGCCCCGAGCCGAACCUGAGAGUACGGCGCUCCAUUCGUGGAGGGCCGAGAGUGCGGGUAAUCCGGCUCCCAAGAAACCCCGCUAAGCUUAACCGCACGGGCACCCGUACCGCAAACGGACACACGUGGCCGGGUAGAGCAUACCAAGGCGUUGAGAGACUCAUGGUCAAGGAACUAGGCAAACCAGCCCCGUAACUUCGGGAGAAGGGGUCCUCCCCCUGUGGGAGGCGCAGCGAACAGGCCCAGGCAACUGUUUACCAAAAACACAGGGCUGUGCAAACUCGAGAGAUGAAGUAUACAGCCUGACACCUGCCCGGUGCCGGAAGGUUAAGAGGAGGCGUCACCGCAAGGGAAGCGCCGAGUUGAAGCCCCGGUAAACGGCGGCCGUAACUAUAACGGUCCUAAGGUAGCGAAAUUCCUUGUC